rnacentral:rRNA from 1 species
ACGAACGCUGGCGGCGUGCUUAACACCUGCAAGUCGAACGGAAAGGCCCUGCUUUUGUGGGGUGCUCGCGUGGCGAACGGGUGAGUAACACGUGAGUAACCUGCCCUUGACUUUGGGAUAACUUCAGGAAACUGGGGCUAAUACCGGAUAGGAGCUCCUGCUGCAUGGUGGGGGUUGGAAAGUUUCGGCGGUUGGGGAUGGACUCGCGGCUUAUCAGCUUGUUGGUGGGGUAGUGGCUUACCAAGGCUUUGACGGGUAGCCGGCCUGAGAGGGUGACCGGCCACAUUGGGACUGAGAUACGGCCCAGACUCCUACGGGAGGCAGCAGUGGGGAAUAUUGCACAAUGGGCGGAAGCCUGAUGCAGCAACGCCGCGUGCGGGAUGACGGCCUUCGGGUUGUAAACCGCUUUCGCCUGUGACGAAGCGUGAGUGACGGUAAUGGGUAAAGAAGCACCGGCUAACUACGUG